rnacentral:lncRNA from 1 species
AGUUUCUUGCCCUUUCUUGGCUCAUGUUUCUGGUUCUGUGUUCUUUUUGCCAGGGAUGCUAAGUUUGAUGUCUUUUGUCUGUUGUCUUUGCAAUCGGAAAUAUCCACUGAGGGAAAUGUCUUUUCCCAUUCACCCAGACUGACCUUGGGCUCAUUUACCAACAGGCUUCAGUCAUCACACUGACUUUGAUAGGAAAAAAGCCAGAUAAUGUGACUCUGUGUAUUUAUUUCUCCUGUAUCUCUUCUUUUUAUUCCUUCUGUUAUUGACAGAUCGCUCAGCUGGGGACAUGUCCCCUGGCCAGUGCUUUAAAAUACAUGGCUGGAUCACAUAAAAAUACUUUCCUGAGCUUGACUGGGUAAGAGGAGGGGAACCACGGUGCAGAAGGAGCACAUUCACUGCGACUGUGAUCAUCUUCAGCCUUUUUGAAAAUGUGGAAAGGAGGAUGGCUUUGUUAGGUCCAGCUGAUGUCCUUGGGCUUGAAUGGGAAAGCCUAUUUGGAAAGCUACAUGUUACUAUGAUCUCUAUAUGUAACUGGAGAGGUGGCUCAUGCCAACACAUCUAUCAGGUUGUUGGGUCACUUCAGAGCUCUGAAAAGGGAUGAGCAACUUCCAUGAAUAACAAGAGAAAACAUGCUGGGGAAGACUUUGUCCUACGGAAGCUAACAACUAAAGGUUUGAUUCAUUUCCCACUGAUGUUGGAUGAAAGAUUUCUAAUGGAUUUGCUGGCUAUUGGAACGAGCCUUAUGGCCUCUCAUUAUGCAGAAAUCUUGCUAAAAGCCAAUAUGGAUGAAUUUAUCAGCUGCAGUAAAUAUUUUAUAAAUGACAUGCAUCCCCAGAGUGCAGUGGAAAGAGGUUAUGAUGUAUUUUUACUUGCAUGCAUUUUGGCAGAACACUGUGAUCAUUCAUAAAUGAUUAGCUACUGUAACUUGGAUAAGGGAAAGUGCAUCCUGCCAGAAAAGCAAACAUCAAAACUCUCCUGGGCCAUGCAGAAUUAGGGCACCUCGUGUGUAUUUUAUUUGCUGUCUCAUCCCACAGACAAGGAGUAGCUUUGAAUAUGGAAGCUUGUGCCUGGGACUCCAGAAACUCAAAGAACUAGCUCAGUCAAUAAAAAAAAAAAAAGCAUAUUCACAUUUUUCACAUUCACAUAGUGCCUUCUGCUCGCUUCACUUCAGAUAUAUUUUACAUGUUAAGAAACGUGCCUGUUCCAUCACAAUGAGGGAACUCUGCUAUCUGUCCCAAAAGAUGAUCUGAUCACUGUGUCCAAGUGCCCUCACGCUGGCAGUUGAUGUCUUUAGAACUGUCACCAAACUGAUGGCAAAAAUUUAUUGAAAAUACCAUGCUGUAGUAUUAAUAAAGGUUUGGAGCAAGGGGAUCAAGGUCUUCAUCUGAUGGUCUCUGUUCUGUCCCACCCAUUUCCUGGGAGGAAACAGGACCUGGCCUUAGGGAAUGCCAUCAUGAGGAGAGGCUGCAGAGGAAGGAGUACUGUGGUCCCCAUCCACACGAUGCUUCCUCUCAUAUGCAUCCUAACCCUAACCUUAAGCCAUGCGUUGUAACCUGUACCCUUCUUUGGGCUCACAGCCCCCACAGUGACCCAGCAAAAUGGCUGCUGUGCUCUGUUCCAUCACUGCACAGACAGACCAAGCGAGCAGCUCCUCUCUGGCUUUCAGAAGAGGGUAGAAGGACAGAGUGGGGGUAUGAGUGGUUAGUGGUGCGACGGAUGCUGAGGGCCGUGCGCGAGAGUGUACUGGCAAUAUUACAGUACCAAACUUAUUCUGGGACCUAAUAUUUAUGAGUUAUUUGGUAGUGUAUGUGCUCAAAAUUGCAGUGUCCUCGUGCUGUCCGUGUGCUGCCCCGCACAGGAAGUGGCAGAUUCUUCUGAGGCUGUUGUGUCAACACUGAGCAGUAAGAAAUGGCCUUGGGCUUGAUGGCUCUGCCCUUGCUGGGACCUGUGAGGUGACUGAGAGCCCACGGACAGCAAGGCAAGGAGGUGGGUCACACGAGCAGGCCCUGCAGCCAGGGGGCAGGGUUUGAUUUCAAAGCACAUGGUAGUAUGGCUUCCUGACUGCACAGGUCAGCCGCCCUGGCAAACUGUCUGACCCCUUUCCAGGAGUUACACUGGGAAGGGACAAGCUAAGCCAUGAGCUUGGUUCCCUGAACUCAUUACACUCUUCUGGAGAGAAGCUGUGCGCAGGUGAGAUGCCAUCUGCAUGUGCUUCUUGGCAAAUUAAUCUGGCAGUACAUUCUUCCCUGGGGACUUUCAUUACCAUACCAGUCACAUCAGGGAACCAAAUACCUGGGCGGUUUGCAUUUAUCCCCUGUGUGCUGGGUAGGUCUGCUAAAAUGCAAAUCACUGCCUCAUCCCAGCUGAAAGGCCUUUCCUCUGAAGAGAGACCAUGUGACUUCAGAUGCGCAGACGGUAACUUCAGCCCAUCCCUUUCUCUGCCUGUGAUACAGGAGGCACGGUGACAAAACAGAUCUCCAAUAGCAUGCAAGCAGCACAGCUGGAGGGCUGCAGCCAAGAACUGCCGCAUCACGAUGAAUAUGGUACUUACCCUUGACUGCUUCUGAGGAGUCAGGCUCAAAAAAUUUCCUCUCGGGAGGCUGUGUCGGUAGGUGGAGAGUAAGUGCUUUGUGAGCUCCAGAGCCCCAGGGAAGAUUGGAGUGCGGGUUCUGCAGAGCUGCGCCCUUCAUUAUGCAGUUCUGGUUCCAAAAAGGGACUGCUUCUGCUUCGAAAGGAAGCUUCUAAAGGUCUGCAAAGUGAAUGAGAGAGGGGUCAGUGCUUUUGCCCUGAGAAAAAUCAGUGUGCUUCUAGUUAUCAAGUUU